rnacentral:lncRNA from 1 species
GCUGUUUUAGGUAGUAUAACUUGUACAUAUAUGUGGUUGUCUAUUUCUAAUGUAAUUGACAUACCAUGAUCCCAUUGUCUCACACUAUUGUGCUUUAUAUUCAUACAUAGUUGAUUUUAAAAAGUGAGAUCGGAGAGGGUGUUGUGUUUUGACCUUAAGUGUUGACUGACUGCUUUGAAUAGCUUAGAUUCUCCUGGUUAAGCAUCGUUUUUGUUUUUUUUAAUUUUGUUGUGUUUUUUUGCCCAAGGACAUG